rnacentral:tRNA from 1 species
GGGUCAUUAGCUCAGUUGGUAGAGCAGUGGACUUUUAAUCCAUUGGUCGUAGGUUCAAAUCCUACAUGACCCACCA